CUAAAAUGUUUAAGAAAGAAAUCUAUUUCUUGCAAUACAUACCAAUACAUACAUCUGAAGCAAACUUUUUUCAGGGACCCUUAAAAUACUAUUGUGGAUCCCCCAAUUUACUCAUUUGGUGCAUGGGCCCCCAAAAAUAUUAUAUGGAC